GAAAACAGAAUCCUCUUUAGGUAUUCUGAAUGAAAAAGGGAUUUUAGUACAGGCAAUUUAGUGCUUAUGGAACCGUUGGGAGGGUGGUCUGGUAGAACGGACGUCUGCAUAGUCAUGGCUGGUUCUGAGUCCGCAGCUAGCUUUUGGAAUUAGGAAACUGUGGGAACCACAGAAAAUAACUGACCAUUAUUGCACUGCUCAGCAUCAAAGCAGGUGAUUCUAAAGAAAUGAACAGAAACCACUGCAAAAAUCUCUCGUCUGCCGAAGUCCACGUGUUUACUCACUGCCAUCAAAGGACCAGUAAAAAGGCUUCUGUUUCUCUUCUGCUUUCUGGAUCUCAGAUGCAGGAAUGAUGGCCACCUGACCAAAGGACAGCAGCAGCAGAAUUUCCCAAGGAUUUCCUAGCAAACCCUUGAAAGGUCACACCAUUCAUUGGACUAAUGCAGUCAGUGCAUUUCCUUGG